rnacentral:rRNA from 1 species
GUGAGGAAUAUUGCGCAAUGGAGGCAACUCUGACGCAGCCAUGCCGCGUGCAGGAAGAAGGCGCUACGCGUUGUAAACUGCUUUUAACCGGGAAGAAACCCCAGGACGUGUCCUGGGUUGACGGUACCGGAGGAAUAAGCACCGGCUAACUUCGUGCCAGCAGCCGCGGUAAUACGAAGGGUGCAAGCGUUAUCCGGAUUCAUUGGGUUUAAAGGGUGCGUAGGCGGAGCGUUAAGUCAGUGGUGAAAUCCUGCAGCUUAACUGUAGACUUGCCAGUGAUACUGGCGCUCUUGAGUGCGCUUGAAGUGGGCGGAAUGUGCCGUGUAGCGGUGAAAUGCUUAGAUAUGGCACAGAACACCAAUUGCGAAGGCAGCUCACUAAGGCGAUACUGACGCUGAGGCACGAAAGCGUGGGGAUCGAACAGGAUUAGAAACCCCAGUAGUCC